rfam:Auxenochlorella protothecoides strain 0710 contig1223, whole genome shotgun sequence.
GGGCAAAUAGCUCAGUUGGUUAGAGUACACGUCUGAUAAACGUGAGGUCAGGGGUUCAAGUCCCUUUUUGCCCA